rnacentral:rRNA from 1 species
CAGCAGCCGCGGUAAUACGAAGGGGGCUAGCGUUGCUCGGAAUUACUGGGCGUAAAGGGCGCGUAGGCGGCGCUCCAAGUUAGGCGUGAAAUUCCCGGGCUCAACCUGGGGACUGCGCUUAAGACUGGAGUGCUUGAGGAUGGAAGAGGGUUGUGGAAUUCCCAGUGUAGAGGUGAAAUUCGUAGAUAUUGGGAAGAACACCGGUGGCGAAGGCGGCAACCUGGUCCAUUACUGACGCUGAGGCGCGAUAGCGUGGGGAGCAAACAGGAUUAGAUACCCGCGUAGUCCCUGUCUCUUAUAA